ensembl:miRNA
ACCUGAAAAGAUGGUUGACCGUAGGACAUGCGCUAUCUCUGUGUCGUAUGUAAUACGGUCCACAUCUUCUCAAUAUC